AGGAGCUAUGUUAUUUUUUCUUACAGUGAAUCUAUUUCAUCUAGGAUCUCACACGGUAAUGAAGUGGUAAUGUGUUGAAUUAAUUAGGUCUGAUUUUAUAUAGCCAAGAAGCUGAACAAUUUCAAUUCCGGUCUGGUCGAGAAAGGCUGCUAUCUAUUCUAUGCAAUGAUACACACGCUUACAGCCAGGCAGCAAGCCCAGUGUGUUACAUGUCAAAAAACAACAUGGUGAGUGGAAGAGAUAGCUGGUUGUAAGUUACCCUAGCUGUCCAGGCAGGCUACAAUAGAGAAGGACUGGUUGUAAGUUACCCUAGCUGUCCAGGCAGGCUACAAUAGAGAAGGACUGGUUGUUAGUUACCCUAGCUGUCCAGGCAGGCUACAAUAGAGAAGGACUGGUUGUUAGUUACCCUAGCUGUCCAGGCAGGCUACAAUAGAGAAGGACUGGUUGUAAGUUACCCUAGCUGUCCAGGCAGGCUACAAUAGAGAAGGACUGGUUGUUAGUUACCCUAGCUGUCCAGGCAGGCUACAAUAGAGAAGGACUGGUUGUAAGUUACCCUAGCUGUCCAGGCAGGCUACAAUAGAGAAGGACUGGUUGUUAGUUACCCUAGCUGUCCAGGCAGGCUACAAUAGAGAAGGACUGGUUGUAAGUUACCCUAGCUGUCCAGGCAGGCUACAAUAGAGAAGGACUGGUUGUUAGUUACCCUAGCUGUCCAGGCAGGCUACAAUAGAGAAGGACUGGUUGUAAGUUACCCUAGCUGUCCAGGCAGGCUACAAUAGAGAAGGACUGGUUGUUAGUUACCCUAGCUGUCCAGGCAGGCUACAAUAGAGAAGGACUGGUUGUAAGUUACCCUAGCUGUCCAGGCAGGCUACAAUAGAGAAGGACUGGUUGUAAGUUACCCUAGCUGUCCAGGCAGGCUACAAUAGAGAAGGACUGGUUGUAAGUUACCCUAGCUGUCCAGGCAGGCUACAAUAGAGACGGACUGGUUGUAAGUUACCCUAGCUGUCCAGGCAGGCUACAAUAGAGAAGGACUGGUUGUUAGUUACCCUAGCUGUCCAGGCAGGCUACAAUAGAGAAGGACUGGUUGUAAGUUACCCUAGCUGUCCAGGCAGGCUACAAUAGAGAAGGACUGGUUGUUAGUUACCCUAGCUGUCCAGGCAGGCUACAAUAGAGAAGGACUGGUUGUAAGUUACCCUAGCUGUCCAGGCAGGCUACAAUAGAGAAGGACUGGUUGUAAGUUACCCUAGCUGUCCAGACAGGCUACAAUAGAGAAGGACUGGUUGUAAGUUACCCCAGCUGUCCAGGCAGGCUACAAUAGAGAAGGACUGGUUGUAAGUUACCCUAGCUGUCCAGGCAGGCUACAAUAGAGAAGGACUGGUUGUUAGUUACCCUAGCUGUCCAGGCAGGCUACAAUAGAGAAGGACUGGUUGUUAGUUACCCUAGCUGUCCAGGCAGGCUACAAUAGAGAAGGACUGGUUGUUAGUUACCCUAGCUGUCCAGGCAGGCUACAAUAGAGAAGGACUGGUUGUAAGUUACCCUAGCUGUCCAGGCAGGCUACAAUAGAGACGGACUGGUUGUAAGUUACCCUAGCUGUCCAGGCAGGCUACAAUAGAGAAGGACUGGUUGUAAGUUACCCUAGCUGUCCAGGCAGGCUACAAUAGAGACGGACUGGUUGUAAGUUACCCUAGCUGUCCAGGCAGGCUACAAUAGAGAAGGACUGGUUGUAAGUUACCCUAGCUGUCCAGGCAGGCUACAAUAGAGAAGGACUGGACUGUAAUUGUAAUCUGAUACUGGGAUAGACAGACACAAAUGCACAUUCACCCCCUAAACAGAUGAAUACCUUUGUUUUGAUGUUAACAAGUCCAACACUAUCACCAUAGAACAGAAAUCAUGUUGCCCUGGCACCCCAGAUGUUCC